rnacentral:rRNA from 1 species
UGGAAUGAUGGUGACUUAAACCCUCACCAGAGUACCAAUUGGAGGGCAAGUCUGGUGCCAGCAGCCGCGGUAAUUCCAGCUCCAAUAGCGUAUAUUAAACUUGUUGCAGUUAAAAAGCUCGUAGUUGAAUUUCAGCGUUUCGCGUGUGCCUCUUUUGGCCCAUCUCGUCUCGCUUUUUUUAUUACUUUGAGAAAAUUAGAGUGUUUCAAGCAGGCUUUUGUCUUGAAUACUUGAGCAUGGAAUAAUAGAGUAGGACCUUGGUUCUAUUUUGUUGGUUUUGUUACCUUGGUAAUGGUUAAUAGGAACGGUUGGGGGCAUUCGUAUUUAACUGUCAGAGGUGAAAUUCUUAGAUUUGUUAAAGACGAACUACUGCGAAAGCAUUUGCCAAGGACGUUUCCAUUAAUCAAGAACGAAAGUUAGGGGAUCGAAGACGAUCAGAUACCGUCGUAGUCCUAACCAU